rnacentral:rRNA from 1 species
GUGAGGAAUAUUGGACAAUGGGCGCAAGCCUGAUCCAGCCAUGCCGCGUGCAGGAAGACGCAUCUAUGGUGUGUAAACUGCUUUUGUACGGGAAGAAACACUCCCUCGUGAGGGAGCUUGACGGUACCGUAAGAAUAAGGAUCGGCUAACUCCGUGCCAGCAGCCGCGGUAAUACGGAGGAUCCAAGCGUUAUCCGGAAUCAUUGGGUUUAAAGGGUCCGUAGGCGGUUUAAUAAGUCAGUGGUGAAAGCCCAUCGCUCAACGAUGGAACGGCCAUUGAUACUGUUAGACUUCAAUUACAAGGAAGUAACUAGAAUAUGUAGUGUAGCGGUGAAAUGCUUAGAUAUUACAUGGAAUACCAAUUGCGAAGGCAGGUUACUACUUGUGGAUUGACGCUGAUGGACGAAAGCGUGGGGAGCGAACAGGAUUAGAUACCCGUGUAGUCC